rnacentral:SRP_RNA from 1 species
GCCAGGUGCAGUGGCACGUGCCUGUAGUCCCAGCUACUCGGGAGGCUGAGGUGGGAGGAUCGCUUGAGCCCAAGAGUUCUGGGCUGUAGUGCGCCAUGCCGAUCGGAUGUCUGCCCUAAAUUUGGCAUCAAUAUGGUGACCUCCCAGGAGCAGGGGACCACCAGAUUGCCCAAGGAGGGGUGAACCAGCCCAGGCCAGAAACAGAGCAGGUCAGAACUCCUGUGCUGAUCAGUAGUGGGAUUGUGCCUAUGAAUAGCCACUGCACUCCAGCCUGGGCAACAUAGAAAGACCCCAUCUCU